CAGCCGGAGCAGCGACGGCGGCGGUUGCGGCCGCCCCCUGGCGGGCGCCGGUGGCUGCAGCCGGGCCCGUGAGGGCUGGGCUGGGCUGGGCUGGGCUCCCGCUCCCUCCGUCCGCGGCGGGAGAAGGGCAGGCCCUCAGCCAAAGCUCAAGCGGGGCGGCCCGGACAUCGGCGAGUCCCCGAGCGAGCGGUACAGAGUACCAGCUAGCAAAACCCUCUGAUGGAAACAGAUGGGAGCUACCACUAGGAAGCCUUGCCAGACCUGGGGGCCUGAUGAGAGAGUUUUUCUGGGGUAAGUUCUGUCUAAAUGACUGGGACAAAGUCAUGUCUGUCCUGCUGGGCUUAGUAGCUUGGGCUAUUGAAUCAAAGGUCCCCAUAUGUUUCCCAUGACAAUAAACCUACCUGUCUAUCAUUCUGUCACUUAGGGCACCUUUCUGGUAAAAUUUUUGAGUUUUUCUCCAGUCCUCUCACAAUUUAACUGGCUAUAGAUAGUAUCCAAAGUGUAUUAAUUCAAGAAAAGACUGUUCUUUUGGAAUCUCAAAGGGCUGUUUAUAAUUAAAGUAGGUGCUUAAAAAUUACUGAUUUCUUGGCCAUAGUUUCCUGGGUUUAGGCAGACUCUUGGUAUUAACUAUAUAAAUGUGAGAAAGGAUUAAUUGUUUUUCAUAUUUUUGGGCUUGAAUAUUCACAGUUGCAUUCUGCAUUCUUUAUGUAUUUCCAUUCUAUAAAAUAUCUAAAAGUUGGCCCAUCAGUAGAAGAGUCCUACUGAUACAGAAAUAGCUAACCCAUUGCUUUCGUAACGUUUAUAGGUAGUGCAAAGAAAUUAAAAUAUUAGCCUAAAAAAAGUAACAUUCAUAUUUAUACCAGAUUGAAGGAUUUUUGGCGGAACUAUUACCCUGCUUAUUAUAUGAAUUUGGUUGUCCAAUCUAAAGGUAAUACCAAGUAUAAACUUUGUAUGUUCCUCUUAAGUACUGUCUGGUUUGACUUCAAGUUCAGAGGGUUUUUUUGUGAGAGAAUGACUCUACUGUAAUUGUGUAAAUUUUUUUAUAAGGCUUUUCAGGAAUAUCAGUGCUUAAUGCAUUGUUGUUUAAAUUACUGUGUUGGAGGGAAGAGCAAACCGGAAUGUGAGUUAUCCUGAGAACCGGCAUUUAAAUUCAUAUGGGAGGUGUCAACUGUCUUUGAGUUCUGUAUACUAAUUCUAACAUAUUUUAUGAUGAAUGCAUAUUCUGGGUGAGAUAAAAAUGUUUUUUGCUAUGUGUGUGUUAGUUUUUUUGUCUUCUUCAAAUAAAUGUCAUGUUUGAUGGCAUUACAAUAGAUAGUGUAUUGCUACCACAGUGUUGUUUGGGUUAUCUUGACACAUUUAUAAUCAAAAGGCAUGCUAUGCUUGAAUGCAUUGGCUUAAGGUCGUAUUUGUGAAAGACAGAAAUGUGUGGAUUGUAGUUCUUUUCAUUCUGCUUAAAAGCAUAUACAAACAGUAAUUGUUCUGUCUGAAGAAAGUAUCUCUAUAAAUACACAUUUUUAGCAUUAUUAUUUUAGAUAUGAUAGAAGGACUGUAGUAUAACAAUGUGCAUGUCAAAUCUUGAUACUGAUACUGGUUUAUAAGGUUUUUGUGGGGUUUUUUUGUUGUUGUUAAGAGGAGCAAAAUUUACAUGAUUUUCACUUCUGACCUGUGGGGAGCAGGUAUCUAUGGGACUUGGCGAAACAGGAGAAAUCAGAUAAACAUGCUCUGAAUAUUUCUAUUUGUUUGGGGUUUUUUUCUCAUGUAAGUAAAAGCUGGUGGAAAGCUCUAAUAAAUCAACCUGGUUUGGAUCCCUAAUUUAACUUAGUUUUAAGGUUGCAAGAUUUAUGAAGUGUUUGUGUUUUUCUGAAAACCUGCUUAUGCCAUUGAAAUAGUUGUAUUUCUGCUAUUUUCUUCUCUUCACUAGAAAUGUUGAACACUUUGGAGAAUUGGGUGACAGAAUUUUUUUCACAGAUGCUGAAUAAGUCAGGUUCUUUUCUGAUAUCUUCCAUGUCUGUAACUUGUGAAACUAUGUUGUAAACAUGCGGAAUUUUAUGCAAUUGCUUUUCCUUGUAUCUACAGAGGCUUUAGUUCUUACUGAUUCCCAUAUCAAAGAAACUACUUUCACUGACUACAUUAAGACAAUAUAAUCUUUGGAAGUUGAUAAAUUCCUAGUGUUUCUUUAAGAUAUAUUUGACAGCAUUUAAUGUGUUCCAUGGUGUGAAUCUUGACUUUGCACAUAGAUCCUGUGUUACUUAUACCUGUGUUACUUCUUUCGUUGCUGGGAAGAGAAUUGGAUUCUAGUUUUGAAGAAUGUUAAUUUCUAUGCCUCUGCGUUGUGUGAAAGGUAAUUAGUAUCAAAACAUAGGUGAGUUGACAGUCCAUUGUGGCUAUUAGAGACAAACUGACUGUGAGUUUCUGUGUUAAUACCAAGCUAUGCAUUGUAAUAUGCUAUUUUGAAAAGACAUCCCA
rnacentral:lncRNA from 1 species